UGCGUCGAUAAUCCUCAAUGCUGAGGAUGC
rnacentral:sRNA from 1 species